UACGGAGGGAGCUAGCGUUGUUCGGAUUUACUGGGCGUAAAGCGCACGUAGGCGGCGCCGUAAGUCAGGGGUGAAAUCCCGGAGCUCAACUCCGGAACUGCCCUUGAAACUGCAGUGCUAGAAUUCUGGAGAGGCGAGUGGAAUUCCGAGUGUAGAGGUGAAAUUCGUAGAUAUUCGGAAGAACACCAGUGGCGAAGGCGACUCGCUGGACAGACAUUGACGCUGAGGUGCGAAAGCGUGGGGAGCAAACAGG
rnacentral:rRNA from 1 species